rnacentral:sRNA from 1 species
UUACGAAGGAGCCUUUCGUAUAGUUUGC